GGUUGUUGUUGCUGUUGUUAUUGUUGGUUUGAUGCAUACAUACACAUACACAUACACUUAUACACAUAGUGUAUGUGUAUGUGUAUGUAUGCAUCAAACCAACAAUAACAACAGCAACA
rnacentral:pre_miRNA from 1 species